rnacentral:lncRNA from 1 species
AAAAGAGCCAUCAAAGGCUAGGAGCUGCUGGCAAGAGGAACAAGUUUUCUGCAUGGGUAGCGAGUGUGGCAGAGCACUACGGGGUUGAUCAACGUCUCCUUGACUUUGCCUGGUGAUGAUUUCAAGUCUUGUUUGCAGCGUCAACUUCCCCCUUACAAAAUGUAAACUGUGGUGUUUGUGGAGUCCCUGUGACUAAGGUUUAUGGCAGAGGAGAAGAGUGAAGGAAUAACUUAAGGUAAGAAAGGGAAAGAGAAGUGGGGAUAUGAAAGUGGUGCCUGGGUGAGCUGGGGGAGUUUGCUCAGUGCCAAACCCUGCAGAAGUGAAGUAACCGU